rnacentral:rRNA from 1 species
UGGCGAACGGGUGAGUAACGCGUAAAGAACUUGCCCUUUAGACUGGGAUAACAGAGGGAAACUUCUGAUAAUACUGGAUAAGUUAGUAUAUCGCAUGAUAUGCAAAUGAAAGCUACGGCACUAAAGGAGAGCUUUGCGUCCUAUUAGCUAGUUGGUAAGGUAAGAGCUUACCAAGGCGAUGAUAGGUAGCCGGCCUGAGAGGGUGGACGGCCACAAGGGGACUGAGAUACGGCCCUUACUCCUACGGGAGGCAGCAGGC